AUGAGUCGGGGUCCCCACAAUCCUGUGGAGGAAAUUAAAAUUUGGAGAUCUGCUUCUACUGGAAAGGAAUUGACACAGUUCUUGUCUCACCUCCCAAAGCUAUCCAAACUGGAACUAUAUCGUUGUGAAAACAUAACACAGGUUGCUGUGGGGGUGGAUUUGCAGCAAAAAACAGCACCAGUAUCAUUGUCAAUCUCUUCAGAUGUUACAAUGGAUGAUACACUAGCAAAAGAGGGGCAACAAGAAAUAGCAGAGGUGGAGAAGGAGGAGGCAAACACGGCAGAUGAUGAUGGGCUGUUGCUCCUCCCUGCACAUCUCUCCAACUCUCUGACGGCGCUGGUCAUCAGUUAUGGUGGUGCGGUAGUUCAUUCCCUCAAUGCCCUCCAAGCCCUAAUUGCCCUUUGGUUAGAAGAUUGCUCUUUUCGCCACCCUUUCCCGUCCUCCCUGCUACACCUGGAUCUUUCGUCCGUGAAGGGCGUGCUGACCCUUCCAAACCUCACCUCUCUCACCCGAUUAAGCAUAUCUCGUUGCGGAGAGGAUUUGAGAUACGAGGGCCUGUUGCCUCUCCUUACUCGGGGCCACCUCAGCAAUUUAGUCCAACGAAUCCCCAAUUUCUUUGGUGCGUGCGAUUAA
rnacentral:rRNA from 1 species